rnacentral:rRNA from 1 species
GACGAACGCUGGCGGCGUGCUUAACACAUGCAAGUCGAACGGAAAGGCCCUGCUUUUGUGGGGUGCUCGAGUGGCGAACGGGUGAGUAACACGUGAGUAACCUGCCCUUGACUUUGGGAUAACUUCAGGAAACUGGGGCUAAUACCGGAUAGGAGCUCCUGCUGCAUGUUGGGGGUUGGAAAGUUUCGGCGGUUGGGGAUGGACUCGCGGCUUAUCAGCUUGUUGGUGGGGUAGUGGCUUACCAAGGCUUUGACGGGUAGCCGGCCUGAGAGGGUGACCGGCAAAAUUGGGACUGAGAUACGGCCCAGACGCCUACGGGAGGCAGCAGUGGGGAAUAUUGCACAAUGGGCGGAAGCCUGAUGCAGCAACGCCGCGUGCGGGAUGACGGCCUUCGGGUUGUAAACCGCUUUCGCCUGUGACGAAGCGUGAGUGACGGUAAUGGGUAAAGAAGCACCGGCUAACUACGUG